rnacentral:tRNA from 1 species
GGGGUUGUGGCUCAGCGGUAGAGUACUUGCAUGUGUGAGACACUGGGUUCAAUUCUCAGCAUCACCU